CAGUAGCCGCGGGAAUACGAAGGGGGCUAGCGUUGCUCGGAAUGACUGGGCGUAAAGGGCGCGUAGGCGGUUUGUACAGUCAGAUGUGAAAUUCCUGGGCUCAACCUGGGGACUGCAUUUGAUACGUACGGACCUGAGUGGAGAAGAGGGUCGUGGAAUUUCCAGUGUAGAGGUGAAAUUCGUAGAUAUUGGAAAGAACACCGGUGGCGAAGGCGGCGACCUGGUCUUUAACUGACGCUGAGGCGCAAAAGCGUGGGGAGCAAACAGGAUUAGAUACCCGCGUAGUCCCUGUCUCUUAUAC
rnacentral:rRNA from 1 species